rnacentral:lncRNA from 1 species
GAGUUGUCUAGCAGCAAACAGUAACAGCAGCAAGGCUGCAAACACAGCAGCUUAGAGAAGAGCAGAAUGUCCUGGUUUCCAUCAUGGCUGAAGCACACAAGGGCACAGAACAUACUCCUUUACCUUUAGACAGAGGUGCUCUGGAGAACACCCUCAGCCUGCUGCAUGCUCUUUAUCAGAUGGGUUCCAUGUGAAGAGGGCAUAAGAACAUGCCUCAGGCCAGCUAUAGGAGCCAAGAAGCAGAGGCCACUGUGGUCAGAGGGAGCCAUCAUUAGCCCAAGUGGAGAGAACCAUACUGACAGCCCCGGAAUAAUACAAAGAACCAGAAGAGAGAGAUUCAAAGUAAACUUUAUAAAAGUUACUUCAGGAUGCAGCCAUAGAAUCUACUGAACACCUUCCAGAGUUGCCUGAGUAAUAUCAGUUGUUCCAGUUAGAAAACUUC